GACGAACGCUGGCGGCGUGCUUAACACAUGCAAGUCGAACGGUAAGGCCCUUCGGGGUACACGAGUGGCGAACGGGUGAGUAACACGUGGGUGAUCUGCCCUGCACUUCGGGAUAAGCCUGGGAAACUGGGUCUAAUACCGGAUAGGACCACUGCCUGCAUGGGUGGUGGUGGAAAGCUUUUGCGGUGUGGGAUGGGCCCGCGGCCUAUCAGCUUGUUGGUGGGGUGAUGGCCUACCAAGGCGACGACGGGUAGCCGGCCUGAGAGGGUGACCGGCCACACUGGAACUGAGAUACGGCCCAGACUCCUACGGGAGGCAGCAGUGGGGAAUAUUGCACAAUGGGCGCAAGCCUGAUGCAGCGACGCCGCGUGAGGGAUGACGGCCUUCGGGUUGUAAACCUCUUCCAGCACCGACGAAGCGCAAGUGACGGUAGGUGCAGAAGAAGGACCGGCCAACUACGUGCCAGCCGCCGCUGUAA
rnacentral:rRNA from 1 species